rnacentral:rRNA from 1 species
AGUGAACGCUGGCGGUAGGCCUAACACAUGCAAGUCGAACGGCAGCACAGUAAGAGCUUGCUCUUACGGGUGGCGAGUGGCGGACGGUUGAGGAAUACAUCGGAAUCUACUUUUUCGUGGGGGAUAACGUAGGGAAACUUACGCUAAUACCGCAUACGACCUACGGGUGAAAGCAGGGGAUCUUCGGACCUUGCGCGAUUGAAUGAGCCGAUGUCGGAUUAGCUAGUUGGCGGGGUAAAGGCCCACCAAGGCGACGAUCCGUAGCUGGUCUGAGAGGAUGAUCAGCCACACUGGAACUGAGACACGGUCCAGACUCCUACGGGAGGCAGCAGUGGGGAAUAUUGGACAAUGGGCGCAAGCCUGAUCCAGCCAUACCGCGUGGGUGAAGAAGGCCUUCGGGUUGUAAAGCACUUUUGUUGGGAAAGAAAAGCAGCAGGUUAAUACCCCGCUGUUCUGACGGUACCCAAAGAAUAAGCACCGGCUAACUUCGUG